GUGCUCACUUUGGUAGCACACAUAGUAAAAUUGGAAAAAUACAAAGAUUAGCCUGGCCCCUGCACAAAGAUGACACGUGUAUUAGUGGAAUGUUCCAUAUUUUU